AGGCAGAUGGUUAUCCCUCUCUAGUCUGAUCCAGUGUCUCUAGAGGGAGUCAGUCUGCAAAAUCAACUGGGGGCCCUGUUUCCGUCCAGCAUCAUGGUUCUUUGAUGAUGGUUUCAGACCUGCCAUACAU
rnacentral:snoRNA from 13 species